ensembl:snoRNA LOC120100376 small nucleolar RNA SNORA2/SNORA34 family
AUGGUUCUCACUGAAGACCAGCAGUUGUACUAUAGCUGUUGGUUUCAAGCAGAUGCCUGAAGAACUGUCUUCCUGUAGUUUGUUGGCUAUUCUGGACUUCAAUGGAGAAUGAAUAUUCCAUUUGGAAGAAACAAAC